rnacentral:rRNA from 1 species
AUUGAACGCUGGCGGCAUGCCUAACACAUGCAAGUCGAACGGGGCAGCAAUGCCUAGUGGCGGACGGGUGAGGAAUACGUAGGAAUCUGCCCUUAAGUGGGGGAUAACCAGGGGAAACCCUGACUAAUACCGCAUGAUCUCUUCGGAGCAAAGGGGGGGACCGCAAGGCCUCUCGCUUCUGGAUGAGCCUACGUCUGAUUAGCUAGUUGGUAGGGUAAAGGCCUACCAAGGCGACGAUCAGUAACUGGUCUGAGAGGAUGAUCAGUCACACCGGAACUGAGACACGGUCCGGACUCCUACGGGAGGCAGCAGUGGGGAAUAUUGGACAAUGGGCGCAAGCCUGAUCCAGCCAUGCCGCGUGUGUGAAGAAGGUCUUCGGAUUGUAAAGCACUUUAAGUUGGGAGGAAGGGUUGUAAGCUAAUAUCUUGCAGCUUUGACGUUACCAACAGAAUAAGCACCGGCUAACUCUGUGCCAGCCGCCGCCGUAAUAC